UACGAAGGGGGCUAGCGUUAUUCGGAAUUAUUGGGCGUAAAGCGCUCGUAGGCGGGACUGGAAGUCCGUGUUGAAAGACCUCGGCUCAACUGAGGGACCGGCUCGGAUACUCUAGUUCUUGAGGCAAUCAGAGGGUGAUGGAAUUCCCGGUGUAGCGGUGAAAUGCGCAGAUAUCGGGAAGAACACCCGUGGCGAAGGCGGCUCUCUGGGACGGUACUGACGCUGAGACGCGAAAGCGUGGGGAGCGAACAGG
rnacentral:rRNA from 1 species